rnacentral:rRNA from 1 species
GAUGAACGCUGGCGGCGUGCCUAAUACAUGCAAGUCGAGCGGCCGGACGAGAAGCUUGCUUCUCUGAUGUUAGCGGCGGACGGGUGAGUAACACGUGGAUACCCUACCUAUAAGACUGGGAUAACUUCGGGAAACCGGAGCUAAUACCGGAUAAUAUUUUGAACCGCAUGGUUCAACCGUGAAAGACGGUCUUGCUGUCACUUAUAGAUGGAUCCGCGCUGCAUUAGCUAGUUGGUAAGGUAACGGCUUACCAAGGCAACGAUGCAUAGCCGACCUGAGAGGGUGAUCGGCCACACUGGAACUGAGACACGGUCCAGACUCCUACGGGAGGCAGCAGUAGGGAAUCUUCCGCAAUGGGCGAAAGCCUGACGGAGCAACGCCGCGUGAGUGAUGAAGGUCUUCGGAUCGUAAAACUCUGUUAUUAGGGAAGAACAUAUGUGUAAGUAACUGUGCACAUCUUGACGGUACCUAAUCAGAAAGCCACGGCUAACUACGGG